CAGCCGCCGCGGUAAGACAGAGGAUGCAAGCGUUAUCCGGAAUUAUUGGGCGUAAAGCGCGCGUAGGCGGUUUUUUAAGUCUGAUGUGAAAGCCCACGGCUCAACCGUGGAGGGUCAUUGGAAACUGGAAAACUUGAGUGCAGAAGAGGGAAGUGGAAUUCCAUGUGUAGCGGUGAAAUGCGCAGAGAUAUGGAGGAACACCAGUGGCGAAGGCGACUUUCUGGUCUGUAACUGACGCUGAUGUGCGAAAGCGUGGGGAUCAAACAGGAUUAGAUACCCCUGUAGUCCCUGUCUCUUAUAC
rnacentral:rRNA from 1 species